GGGCCCGCACAAGCGGUGGAGCAUGUGGUUCAAUUCGACGCAACGCGCAGAACCUUACCUGGUCUUGACAUCCUCGGAACCUGCCAGAGAUGGCGGGGUGCCCGCAAGGGAACCGAGAGACAGGUGCUGCAUGGCUGUCGUCAGCUCGUGUCGUGAGAUGUUGGGUUAAGUCCCGCAACGAGCGCAACCCUCGCCUUUAGUUGCCACGAAAGUGGAUCUCUAGAGGGACUGCCGGUGUUAAACCGGAGGAAGGUGGGGAUGACGUCAAGUCCUCAUGGCCUUUAUGACCAGGGCUACACACGUGCUACAAUGGCCGGUACAAAGCGCUGCCAACCCGCGAGGGGGAGCCAAUCGCAUAAAACCGGUCUCAGUUCAGAUUGGAGUCUGCAACUCGACUUCAUGAAGGCGGAAUCGCUAGUAAUCGUAGAUCAGCACGCUACGGUGAAUACGUUCCCGGGCCUU
rnacentral:rRNA from 1 species